rnacentral:lncRNA from 1 species
CCCAAAAUAGCUAGUACGUACGUGUGCGUAUCAUUCUUUCUAAGCCAUAUCUUAACCUCUCUCUUUUAUUAACUCAGCUUUUCCUUCUUUUUAAUUUUCGACCUCACCAUGCCCUUACUCUCUUUCUUGUGUGUACUCCACAUAUCCCAAUCCUUUUUUUUUCCAAUCCUUACUUAGUUGAAGUUCCAAAAUGUGCGGGA